GGGCGAGUGGUCUAGUGGUAAGGACGUUAGCCGCAUAAGCUGAAGAUCCGGGUUCGAUUCCCGGCUCAGCCA
rnacentral:tRNA from 1 species